rnacentral:misc_RNA from 1 species
AAAGUCGUAACAAGGUCUCCGUAGGUGAACCUGCGGAGGGAUCAUUACAAGUGACCCCGGUUUUACCACCGGGAUGUUCAUAACCCUUUGUUGUCUGACUCUGUUGCCUCCGGGGCGACCCUGCCUUCGGGCGGGGGCUCCGGGUGGACACUUCAAACUCUUGCGUAACUUUGCAGUCUGAGUAAAUUAAUUAAUAAAUUAAAACUUUUAACAACGGAUCUCUUGGUUCUG